GGCCCCGAGGUGUUUACCAUGUUAGAUUGCAAAUCUAGAGAAGCAGGUUAAGCCCUGCCUGGGCUU
rnacentral:tRNA from 1 species